UACGUAGGGGCCUAGCGUUGUCCGGAAUUAUUGGGCGUAAAGAGCUCGUAGGCGGUUCGGCAAGUCGGAUGUGAAAUCUCCACGCUUAACGUGGAGGGGCCAUUCGAAACUGCUGUGACUCGAGUCCGGUAGGGGAGUGUGGAAUUCCCGGUGUAGUGGUGAAAUGCGUAGAUAUCGGGAGGAACACCAGUGGCGAAGGCGACUACCUGGCCUGUUCUUGACGCUGAGGCGCGAAAGCUAGGGGAGCAAACGGG
rnacentral:rRNA from 1 species